rnacentral:sRNA from 1 species
GCCUAGAUUUUUGCCUUCCUUGCUCUCUUUCUGCCGAGCCAAGAUUUAUGUCAAAGGCCCUUCCGUAGGACAUAUUGUUCUUUUAUUCUUUCGAUACUGAGACUGCGAAAUAUCAACAGGUGGACCGUAAAUUGGAUAAGCUUGUUUGGGAGAUUAGUUUUCGGGGAAGCUUGGUGAACAUUCGUUAAAUUAUCAUAUUUCUAAAGCGGAAAAAGCCAGCUCUCGCGUGCGCUGAGCAAGAUAUAAUACACAAUUACAGAGUGAGAGAAGUAAGUACUAGAUAGCCCUUAACACCCCACGUCAUAAUUGAGAUAACGAUUCCAACAGUAUCGAGACAAAUGGCUCAGAAGCGAACCGAAUGCAAAAGGAGUGGUGAAAAAGUUGUAGUAGAAAUGCAUGUUGGAAGAGUUAAGGAAAUAGAAUAUUAGGGGAAAAAUAGUCAUUUUAUUUCUUCGUCUCGCCGCUUCGUAAUGGCGAAAAAUGGUUCGCAUCAAUAGAAAACAACGACUAUAAUAAUAGUAAUAUAAAUAAGGAGGGAGGGGGGGAAAGAAAAGAAAAGAAAAUAUAAUGUAUAUCCUCCAACCUCCCAAGAGCAAAAUCUAGCAUCAGACAACGCGUUUAACCUCAAAGAAUCGCUUCAACCACCAGACCUGGAAAAUGCCCUCGCCAAUGAUUAUACACAGCUGGAAAAUACUCCACCAUUUGACUCUAGCAUUGGUGCUCUCGGCAGUGUUGCGGUGCGUGCGUUCCCGAACAAUAAUGUAGGACUGCUCAUCUUUGACCUGUGAUAGUUCCUCGGAGAGACGGCGGACUUCAGCUUCUAGAGGAUCGGUGGGCGCUUCCGAUUCAGGAACGUAGACGACUCCGUAGACGUUGAAAGAGACCUCUUUGCUAUUCGACGACCAGGCCUCGUUGCCGAAGCAGUAGAUGUAUUUGCCGUCAAGGGAUGCUGUGAAGGAGUAUUCGUCCGAGGAGGAGUAUUUGGUGUACUGCCGGUUGCCGGAGGGAUCCUGGACCCAGAAGCUGACGUCGAGGUUCCCGCUGCCUCCAAACUCCCUGUCGCCGGUUUGGAAGGUGACGGUCAUGCGGUCAUCCUUGUGCAGGUCCUCGUGGAAGCACUCUCUUGAGUGGGCCCGGAGGAGGAUGUUAUGUGAAGAUGCGACCCCUAUCCAUCCCAGCAACGAGACCAGCACCGUGGCCGCAGAGAAUCGCAUGGUGUGUCCUCGUUCCGGGACCCGGCGUGUUGGAGCUGGGUUCAAUUGGGUUUUCGGGAGGACGAGGCAGAAUCCGCCGGGAGAUACGCUACUGGGUCUUCUAGAAAAUCAAAUACGCUGG